rnacentral:rRNA from 1 species
UCAGUUUAGUUGGGCACUCUAGUCGAGACCUGCCGGUGACAAACCGGAGGAAGGUGGGGAUGACGUCAAGUCCUCAUGGCCCUUAUGGUAGGGCUUCACACGUCAUACAAUGGUCGGUACAGAGGGUUGCCAAGCCGCGAGGUGGAGCCAAUCCCUUAAAGCCGAAUCGUAGUCCGGAUCGUAGUCUGCAACUCGACUCCAUGAAGUUGGAAUCGCUAGUAAUCGCAGAUCAGCACGCUGCGGUGAAUACGUUCCCGGGCCUU